UACGAAGGGUGCAAGCGUUGCUCGGAAUUAUUGGGCGUAAAGCGCACGUAGGCGGCUUAGCAAGUCGGAAGUGAAAGCCCUCGGCUCAACCAAGGAAGUGCUUUCGAAACUGCUGAGCUUGAGUACUUAAGAGGAUCGCGGAAUUCCCGGUGUAGAGGUGAAAUUCGUAGAUAUCGGGAGGAACACCAGUGGCGAAGGCGGCGAUCUGGGAAGAUACUGACGCUGAGGUGCGAAAGCGUGGGGAGCAAACAGG
rnacentral:rRNA from 1 species